rnacentral:misc_RNA from 1 species
UUUCGAAUCCAGUAUUGCAAAAGUUGCCAUAGUUUUAAAAUGACCGCUACUUUUAUUAUCUGCGCAUGCGCACUCUGAAUCUUCUUCAUUCGUAAAAUCAGUUGAUUGUGAACUUGUGAAGUGGUGAAGUUGUCUGUCAAGUCGUCAAUACAAGACUCGCUUGUGUUGACAAGAAUUUUGCAAAAAGUAAUAAUAUUAUUGUUGUGCGGUAGUUGGCUUUAUCUAAAUAAAUGCAUUUUUUAUUUUAUUAAAACGUGAUUUCUUCCUAGUGCUAACAGGCUUUUUGUCAAUUUUAAGAAACUGAACUUGUCUUAACAAGAAAAAUUAAUUUGACAUGUGCAAAGAACAGUGGCUGUUUGAUUCAGUUUUGUGGUUAUUACCAGUAAUAACACUAAUCACCGGUAUCAUAACACUAUUUUACUUUUUGGGCACUAAAAAUUACAAUUACUGGACAAAACAUGGCGUAUUUAGCAAUACUCCCCGUUGGCCAUUCCUGGGUAACCUGAGAAUCUCCGAUCUGCCGAAAUCCAACCGGGACCUGAUCAAAGGCAUCUACGACAGUUUCGAAGGCCGUGGUUGCGGUGGAUUCUAUUUUCUGACAAAACCAGUGCUGGUCGUGCGAGAUCCCGAUCUGAUUGUCAGUAUUCUGGUGAGCGAUUUUGCGCAUUUCUCGAGUCGUGGCUUCCAUUCAAACGAGCAGCAUGAUCCACUCUCCAAAAAUCUCAUCCAUUUGGAUGGUCCGCCUUGGAAACAGGUCAGGCCUAAGAUGACCGCUGCGUUUGGCAUCAAUAAGUUGAGGACUAUGAUAUCUGACAUGGAUAAUUUCGCAGUUAAAACUCUGGAACAGAUGUCAAAACAUAGUAACAUAAAUGCUGAAGAUUUAUCUGAUAAAUUCAUGAUUGAUGUAGUAUCUUCGUGUCUGUUCGGUAUCAAUUCGGAAGCAAUUGAAAAUCCUGAGUCAGCUUUCUAUGAGGUAGCUAAGCAGAUAUUUGAUGGCUAUCACUUCCUGGUACAUGUAUUUGUGGGCUACAUGUUUCCUGCUGUGCACACUCUUGCCAGGAUGACAGUGGCUCGGUCGCAAGUCACCCACUUCUUCAAGAAAGUCACCAACGAAAACCUGCACUUGAGAAAGUCUGAAGGAUUUUCACAGAGAAAAGACUUCUUUCAGACUCUUGUGAGCAUGAAGGAGACGCAGGAAAUUUGUAAAGAAGACAAUGGGGGAAGUAAAGUUUGCGAUGAAGACUUUAUCGCAGCAAAUCUGUUCAUGUUCUUCAGUGCUGGCUUUGAUUCUUCGGGAAAGAUUGGAGCUUUCAUUAUCUAUGAGCUGGCUGCUAACAAAGAGAUGCAAACAACUUUGAGAGACGAAGUACUAAGAGUACUUGAAAAGUACGACGAUAAAAUGAGCUUUGAGGCUCUUCAAGAAAUGACCUAUUUAGAAAAGAUAGUUGCCGAAGCGAAUCGGAAAUAUCCAAUUCUGAUGGUGAUCUUUAGAAAAUGCGAAAAAGCCUAUCGCCUGCCUGACGGGGGUCUCAUUGAACCAGGAAUUAACGUGAUGAUACCAUCUUCAGCCAUCCACUAUGACCCUAAAUUCUACCCAGACCCUGAGAAAUUUGACCCGGAACGUUUCAGUGAGGAAAAUAAGAGUCAAAGACAUCAGGGCUCUUAUCUGCCGUUUGGGAUUGGACCCAGGAUUUGUCCAGGAUUCCUAGGAUCCUUGUAAGAAAGUCAAAAGUGGCACAAAUCUUCAUCUGCAGUACUACUGAUCCAAAUAGAAAAUCAGCAUAGCAAAUAUUGCGAAUGAAGAUCACCAAUGAAAAAAUGUAUUUCAGAUAGAAAUUUUGAAAAUCACCAACCUUUGUAAGCACAAUGGACAAAGACGCAAGGAUUAUCAUGCUGACUCCAAUGAUAACUCCAAAAAGCGUGGAAGUAAAAUGAAACAAUCUUUAACAAUGGAAAGUAACCAUGCCCUCUGAAUAAAAUUGAAUGAGUUUACAGUACCUUAAAAUUUCAAGAUGAUGAAGUAUAUUUUCUUUGAGGCUAUCGUGAAGACAUC